GACGUAGGGCGCGAGCGUUGUCCGGAUUUAUUGGGCGUAAAGAGUUCGUAGGCGGCUUGUCGCGUCGACUGUGAAAACCUGAGGCUCAACCUCAGGCCUGCAGUCGAUACGGGCAGACUAGAGUCCGGCAGGGGAGACUGGAAUUCCUGGUGUAGCGGUGAAAUGCGCAGAUAUCAGGAGGAACACCAAUUGCGAAGGCAGCUCGCUGGGACGUUACUGACGCUGAGACGCGAAAGCGUGGGGAGCAAACAGG
rnacentral:rRNA from 1 species